rnacentral:SRP_RNA from 1 species
ACCGUGCGUGGUGGCGCGUGCCUGUAGUCCCAGCUACUCAGGAGGCUGAGCCUGGAGGAUCUCUUGAGUCCAGGAGUUCUGGGCUAUAGUGCGCUAUGCCGAUCGGGUGUCCGCACUAAGUUCGGCAUCAAUAUGGUGACCUCCUGGGAGGUGGGGGACCACCAGGUUGCCUAAGGAGGGGUGAACCGGCCCAGGUCGGAAACGGAGCAGGUCAAAAUCCCGUGCUGAUCAGCGCCUGUGAAUAGCCACUGCACUCCAGCCUGGGCAACAUAGCGAGACCCUGUCUCU